rnacentral:lncRNA from 1 species
CCCUCCAUACCUUUUUUGAAUUGCCCAACUUGAACUGUGAUGAUAGUAGGGACUUCAACCAAGCAGUUCAUGGUCCAUUACCUCUUGUCAGACGUCUGUUCAUGAAAAUAUGGCACUUUGAAAGCCGUUUAAGAGUUCAAAAUCGGAAAAACGUGAAAAGUAGCCAAAAUCAGGUGGGGGUGGGCAUCUGUUGAUGGCCACUACUUAACUGGUAGUCAUUGUAGGUAUACACUAUUAUCGUAAAUGCAUGCAUAGGUGGUAUAGGAACACAAAGAGGUAUAAUAUGGCCAAUAGGAAUCUAGUCUGUAAAAUCUAGGUCACCGUUUUGUCAAAAAUCCGUAAAAACGGACAUUUAGGCAGACCUGACUUGACGAUAAUAAUU